rnacentral:rRNA from 1 species
UUUACUUGUACCUUAGUUGCUUCGGCGGGCCCGCCAUUCAUGGCCGCCGGGGGCUCUCAGCCCCGGGCCCGCGCCCGCCGGAGACACCACGAACUCUGUCUGAUCUAGUGAAGUCUGAGUUGAUUGUAUCGCAAUCAGUUAAAACUUUCAACAAUGGAUCUCUUGGUUCCGGCAUCGAUGAAGAACGCAGCGAAAUGCGAUAACUAGUGUGAAUUGCAGAAUUCCGUGAAUCAUCGAGUCUUUGAACGCACAUUGCGCCCCCUGGUAUUCCGGGGGGCAUGCCUGUCCGAGCGUCAUUGCUGCCCAUCAAGCACGGCUUGUGUGUUGGGUCGUCGUCCCCUCUCCGGGGGGGACGGGCCCCAAAGGCAGCGGCGGCACCGCGUCCGAUCCUCGAGCGUAUGGGGCUUUGUCACCCGCUCUGUAGGCCCGGCCGGCGCUUGCCGAACGCAAAUCAAUCUUUUCCAGGUUGACCUCGGAUCAGGUAGGGAUACCCGCUGAACUUAAGCAUAUCAAUAAGCGGAGGAAAAGAAACCAACCGGGAUUGCCUCAGUAACGGCGAGUGAAGCGGCAAGAGCUCAAAUUUGAAAGCUGGCUCCUUCGGGGUCCGCAUUGUAAUUUGCAGAGGAUGCUUCGGGUGCGGCCCCUGUCUAAGUGCCCUGGAACGGGCCGUCAGAGAGGGUGAGAAUCCCGUCUGGGAUGGGGUGUCCGCGCCCGUGUGAAGCUCCUUCGACGAGUCGAGUUGUUUGGGAAUGCAGCUCUA